UGGGGAAUUUUGCACAAUGGGGGCAACCCUGAUGCAGCGACGCCGCGUGAUUUAGAAGGCCUUCGGGUUGUAAAAAUCUUUUGUAUAGGAAGAAAAUGACAGUACUAUACGAAUAAGGUCCGGCUAAUUACGUGCCAGCAGCCGCGGUAAUACGUAAGGACCGAGCGUUGUCCGGAAUCAUUGGGCGUAAAGGGUACGUAGGCGGUUAAAAAAGUUAGAAGUGAAAGGCUAUAGCUCAACUAUAGUAAGCUUUUAAAACUGUUUAACUUGAGAGCUGGAAGGGAAAGUGGAAUUCCUAGUGUAGCGGUGAAAUGCGCAGAUAUUAGGAGGAAUACCGGUGGCGAAGGCGACUUUCUGGCCAUUAUCUGACGCUGAGGUACGAAAGCGUGGGUAGCAAACAGG
rnacentral:rRNA from 1 species